GUCGAACGGAUAUCUUCGGAUAUGAGUGGCGAACGGGUGAGUAACACGUAGGGAACCUGCCUGCAUGAGCGGGAGAACUUCUGGAAACGGAAGCUGAUACCGGAUGAGCAAAGAGGAGGCAUCUUCUUUUUGGAAAAGGGGACAAGAGUCCCGCAUGCAGAUGGACCUGCGGUGCAUUAGCUGGUUGGAGAGGUAACGGCUCACCAAGGCGACGAUGCAUAGCCGGCCUGAGAGGGCGGACGGCCACACUGGAACUGAGACACGGCCCAGACUCCUGCGGGAGGCAGCAGUAGGGAAUUUUCGUCAAUGGGGGGAACCCUGAACGAGCAAUGCCGCGUGAGCGAGGAAGGUCUUCGGAUCGUAAAGCUCUGUUGCCGGGGACAAAAGGCAGAAAGAGUGGAAAGCUUUCUGAGUGAUGGUACCCGGCGAGGAAGUCACGGCUAACUACGUGCCAGCAGCCGCGGUAAUACGUAGGUGGCGAGCGUUAUCCGGAAUGAUUGGGCGUAAAGGGUGCGCAGGCGGCCGGGCAAGUCCGCAGUAAAAACUGGAGGCUCAACCUUCAGGGGCUGCGGAAACUGUCCGGCUGGAGAGCAGGAGAGGACGGUGGAACUCCAUGUGUAGCGGUAAAAUGCGUAGAUAUAUGGAAGAACACCGGUGGCGAAGGCGGCCGUCUGGCCUGCAUCUGACGCUGAGGCACGAAAGCGUGNGGAGCAAAUAGGAUUAGAUACCCUAGUAGUNCACGCUGUAA
rnacentral:rRNA from 1 species